AUGAACGCUGGCGGCGUGCUUUAACACAUGCAAGUCGAACGAACCUUCGGGUUAGUGGCGGACGGGUGAGUAACGCGUGGGAACCUGCCCUCAGGAGGGGGAUAACGGCUGGAAACGGCCGCUAAUAGCCCAUAUGCCGAGAGGUGAAAUGAAAUUCGCCUGAGGAUGGGACCGCGUCUGAUUAGCUAGUUGGUGGGGUAAAGGCCUACCAAGGCGACGAUCAGUAGCUGGUCUGAGAGGAUGAUCAGCCACACUGGGACUGAGACACGGCCCAGACUCCUACGGGAGGCAGCAGUGGGGAAUUUUCCGCAAUGGGCGAAACGCUGACGGAUGCAACGCCGCGUGAGGG
rnacentral:rRNA from 1 species